rnacentral:lncRNA from 1 species
UGCACCCCCAUGUACAUACAUAUCACACAUCAUCACAAUGACAUUUUCAGCAUCAACAACAUCUCAUCUCAAUGUCAUUAUCAACAUCAUCUCAUCUCAAUAUCAUUCUCAACAUCAAUAUCAUCUCGUUUCAAUGUCAUUCUUAACAUCAACACCAUCUCAUCUCAAUGACAUUAUCAACAACAAAAAAAUUAUCUCAUAUCAACAUAAUCAUCAAUAACUACAUCAUCUCAUAUCAAUAUUAUCAUAAACACCAACAUCG